CCUACGGUGGGCUGCAGUGAGGAAUAUUGGUCAAUGGACGAAAGUCUGAACCAGCCAAGUAGCGUGAAGGAUGACUGCCCUAUGGGUUGUACACUUCUUUUAUAUGGGAAUAAAAUGUUCCACGUGUGGGAUUUUGCAUGUACCAUAUGAAUGAGGAUCGGCUAACUCCGUGCCAGCAGCCGAUGUAAUACGGAGGAUCCGAGCGUUAUCCGGUUUUUUUGGGUUUAAAGGGUGCGUAUGUGGAUUGUAAAGUCUGUUGUGAACGUUUGCGGCUAAACCGAAAAAUUGCAGAUGAAGCUGGCAGUCUUGAGUACGGUAGAGGUGGGCGGAAUUCGUAGUGUAGCGGUGAAAUGCUUAGAUAUCACGAAGAACUCCGAUUGCGAAGGCAGCUCACUGGACUGCAACUGACACUGAGGCUCGAAAGUGUGGGUAUCAAACAGGAUUAGAGACCCUGGUAGUC
rnacentral:rRNA from 1 species